rnacentral:rRNA from 1 species
UAACGGCGAGUGAAGCGGGAAGAGCUCAAGCUUGAAAUCCGGCGCCCCCGGGGGGUGCCGGAGUUGUAACCUACAGGUGCGUGUUCGCCCGCUGGUGGGGCUGCGGCUAAGUCCGAUUUGAAAAGGGCACCAAGGAGGGUGGCAGUCCCGUUCGUGCCGUGGUCCUGCCUGCGAUGUGGCCUCGCUUCCCAGGAGUCGAGUUGCUUGGGAUUGCAGCUCAAAGGGGGUGGUAAACUCCAUCCAAAGCUAAACACGUGUGGGAGACCGAUAGCGAACAAGUACCGUGAGGGAAAGAUGCAAAGAACUUUGAAAAGAGAGUCAAAGAGUGCCUGAAAUUGCUGAGAGGGAAGCGAAGGAAAGUAGUGUCGAUCGAGGGGAUCUUGCACACGGGGAACGGUCCCCUGGGGCCCUCCCCGUUAUCCCCCGCGCUGUCAGGGGCGGGUGUGGUUUAAGUCGGCGACUGCGGCAUCAUUAGUACAGGUGUUCCGAGGUAACAGCCGGACAAAUGCUGUGGGUCACUGAGCGUCCCGCCCGCGGCCGUCCCUGACGAAAUGUUUUUCUUUACCCCGUCUUGAA